rnacentral:rRNA from 1 species
GACGAACGCUGGCGGCGUGCCUAAUACAUGCAAGUAGAACGCACAGUUUAUACCGUAGCUUGCUACACCAUAGACUGUGAGUUGCGAACGGGUGAGUAACGCGUAGGUAACCUGCCUGGUAGCGGGGGAUAACUAUUGGAAACGAUAGCUAAUACCGCAUAAUAUUAAUUAUUGCAUGAUAACUAAUUGAAAGGUGCAAUUGCACCACUACCAGAUGGACCUGCGUUGUAUUAGCUAGUAGGUGAGGUAACGGCUCACCUAGGCGACGAUACAUAGCCGACCUGAGAGGGUGAUCGGCCACACUGGGACUGAGACACGGCCCAGACUCCUACGGGAGGCAGCAGUAGGGAAUCUUCGGCAAUGGACGAAAGUCUGACCGAGCAACGCCGCGUGAGUGAAGAAGGUUUUCGGAUCGUAAAGCUCUGUUGUAAGAGAAGAACGGGUGUGAGAGUGGAAAGUUCACACUGUGACGGUAUCUUACCAGAAAGGGACGGCUAACUACGUG